AGUGAACGCUGGCGGUAGGCCUAACACAUGCAAGUCGAACGGCAGCACAGUAAGAGCUUGCUCUUACGGGUGGCGAGUGGCGGACGGGUGAGGAAUACAUCGGAAUCUACUUUUUCGUGGGGGAUAACGUAGGGAAACUUACGCUAAUACCGCAUACGACCUACGGGUGAAAGCAGGGGAUCUUCGGACCUUGCGCGAUUGAAUGAGCCGAUGUCGGAUUAGCUAGUUGGCGGGGUAAAGGCCCACCAAGGCGACGAUCCGUAGCUGGUCUGAGAGGAUGAUCAGCCACACUGGAACUGAGACACGGUCCAGACUCCUACGGGAGGCAGCAGUGGGGAAUAUUGGACAAUGGGCGAAAGCCUGAUGCAGCAAUACCGCGUGAGUGAAGAAGGCCUUCGGGUUGUAAAGCUCUGUUGUUAGGAAAGAAAAGAAGCAGGUGAAUACCCCGCUGUUCUGACGGUACCCAAAGAAAAAGCACCGGCUAACUUCGUG
rnacentral:rRNA from 1 species